CCUCCUAAACACACAUUGAGUUGUGUUCAUUGCUUGGUUUUGGUUUAGGUUUAGUUUUCAUUAGCAAACAGGGCAUAAAACAUAGUUGUAUGUAUGUUUGUGGUGUUUGGGAAUCUCUCUCUGCUUUCGAUACGAGUGUUAAUGUCCAUGUGGUUUCAUCCAUCCGUUAGACUCAACUUGGGUUUUCCCCUCCCAGAAUAUUGAGUUCCACUUCUUCUUUCAAGUCCUUCUCUACUGCCCUUGCCUUCCUCAGCCCAACUCAACCGUCUGAUGAUGAUGAAUAUGCAUCAUCAUCAUCAUCGUUUUUGUCAUCUACUGCUUCUUCUUCUUCUUCUUCUUCUUAUACUAAUAGUACUGCAACUACCAGUUCUGGUUAUACCCACAACCUUAACCCCACCAAAACUAGCACCCCUGUAGCUCAGGACUUGUUUGAUGCAUCCCGGGUUGUCCAAAUCUUGAACUCCAUGAAAAGGGAUCUUAUGCUAUUGGGGUCUGUAUAGGAAGUUGGAUGCUGUGUUUUUGGAAGUCAUUGUUGGGUCCUCUAAUGGCCAUCGUCAACACUACCUGUCCCUACUGAUAAAACAUGUAUGCUUGCUGAUUGUUCGAAAUUGAAAUUCAAGUCAAGACACAAUUGUUCGAUGAAAUGCUUCUUCAGGAUAUUGAACCUGUUUGCUUAGCUGACCUAUGCUACUCAUCGAGCCCAUUGUUAAGGUACAAGGAAGCCUACUCCAUCAGUUCUGAGUCAAACAGAAGAUGCUUCAGAUCAGGAGUUGAACACAACACAGCUGCAGGACACUGGCAGCUGCUAAUCAAGAUUGCAGGGGGUUAGAAACUCUAGGAGUAAUAGAAGUGCUUGGGUUUAUGAAGCUAAGGAUAUGCAAGGAGUUAUCAAAUUGUAUGGUGUAGCUAGCAGCAAUGCAAGUUCAACAAAGUGAUUGUACGGACAGAGCGAAGAGAAGAGCGAAGAGAAAGGCUCAGCUGUUAUUGAAGCUUCUUCGGGAUUCAUGGCCCGAAGAUUCUAUCGGAAAUUCGGACGAUUUUCCUUGCACUGAAGUUGUGAUACGGUUUUGUUGUUCUUAGAAUGAAAAAAAAAAAAAAA